GACGAACGCUGGCGGCGUGCUUAACACAUGCAAGUCGAACGGAAAGGCCCUGCUUGCAGGGUACUCGAGUGGCGCACGGGUGAGUAACACGUGUGUGUUCUGUGCUGCACUCCGGGAUAAGCCUGGGAAACUGGGUCUAAUACCGCAGAUGAGCCCUCCUUCGUGUUGUGGUUGGAUAGAUUUUUCGGUGUAGGAUGAGCUCACGGCCUAUCAGCUUGUUGGUUGGGUAAUGGCCUACCAAGGCGGCGACGGGUAGCCGGCCUGCGGGGGUGGACGGCCAAAUUGGGACUGGGAUUCGGCCCAGACUCCUACGGGGGGGAGGAGUGGGGGAUAUUGCAAAAUGGGGGGAAGCCUGAUGCAACGAAGCCGCGUGGGGGAUGACGGCCUUCGGGUUGUAAACCCGUUUCGCUAGGGACGAAGCUGUGUGUGACGGUACCGAGAUAAGAAGCACCGGCUAACUACGUG
rnacentral:rRNA from 1 species